UUUUUUUACUUGGGAGGGAAGCAUACCAUUUUCACAUUAGAUUAUUUAAGAAAAUUAAACAGAAUUAUUAAAAAAUAAAUUAAUGAAUUUAAUAUUAAAAUGGGAAAACAUCAGUCAGAGAAAAUACCUCCAACUGUAAUUUAUUUUUUAACGUCCAUUUCACUUCCACUUUCCAGUUUCCACCAGUUUGUCUCUUUUAGGACCAGAAACACUUCUGUUUGGUAGCGAGUUUUUCUCCCUUUGAAGUACUUAUCAAAUGAUAUGGGAGUCAUGUCUAUUUGGUUCAUUGCUGUUCCCCUGUGCCUAUCAUAAGACCUACCAUGUACUAGCACUUAAUAAAUAUCUGCUGAAUAGAUGAAUGAGAACUAGAAAUUUAAAUUUUCAUUUCCAUAAGUGGGUUGUCUACUCUAUUCUUGCUGUGCUGAAAUGUAGAACAUGAGUGUCUGCUGUGCUUGAUUCCCCAAAAAACACUCUUCAAGCUUGUACUUAAGACACCAGUAGAAUUUGUCUAGAAUUUUGCAAUCUAGGAAAAAGCAAUUUUACUUUCAACAUAUAUUUUUUUGUCUUAUGGUUUAGAAUUGUGUACAUUUUGAAUUACAAAUGGGGGGGGGGACAACCUGAUGGUUCCCGUGUGUGUGCCUGUGUGCACAUGUUUAUGUGCAAAUUCCCUCCUAUUGCUCCUAAAGAAAGUCAUCUGAAGGAUAUGGCACCAAAAUAACCAUUAACCAUUUUAGGAUAUCUUUCCUAGAUCCUUGAACCUUUUUUAAAUUUUUUUUUUUGUGGGAGGAGGGCAUGAUUUCCUUUUAUCAAGCAAGUUAUAAUUUGAAUGUCUUUUAAAAUCUUUGUUAUGUAUUGUGCAAUGUGUUUAUACAUGGGGAGGGGUAAUGUUAAUCCAUCAUUUUGGUAAGGCACACAAUAUAAUUUCAAUUUUUUUUACAAACAUAAUUAUACUUUAGAUAAAGGUCCUCUAAUAUUGCAACUUUUUUUUUUAAUGGAGUAGCAGGACAUGGUUCUUUAUAGUGCUACUCAGUAUGUUUGAUUUCAGUACUAAUAGUGCUUGCUUUCCUGCUUGGUUUUAGAUUCUGCUUAAGGAAAUUUUGAAAGAUUUAAUUCACUCUACUUUUGUUAGAAAGUAUGGAAAUGUUUGUACAUGGGAACUUUCGUUACCCACUAGAAUGGAAAUUCGUUGGGGAGGGGGAACCAUUUCAUUUUAUUGCCUAAUAGCUGUUUAUAUAGUCCCUGCAUCUUUCAAAAGCAUCUUUCAUGCCACACAGGCAAACAGUAGCCAGUGAAGAAAUAGAAAGAGCAUUUCUCACGUGUGUCAAUCUCAGCAAACUUGCACAACAGCUGUGCUAGGUACUGAGGAAGCUUACCACUGGACCCAAUGAAGGGUUUUGUGUGGUUGAAGAGACAACUGGCUUUCUCAGGGGACCACUUUGUUGAAGAUUGCAGCAAUACUGCAUCCCCACUGUUGCUAGAGGAUAUUGUGGCCAUGAGGUACAAAAUGGGUGCCAGAUAAAAUCAGAAAGUAAUAAAAAUCAAGAAGAAAACUCAGAGAUUUUUAAAUCUUAAAGUGAGAGACUAAAACAAAUGUUCUGGGCUUGUUGCAUUCACUUGUAAGGAAAAGGAGACAGACGAAGGGGUGCCUUUAACUCAGAAAACUUGCAGGGCAUUCAGUCUUUUUAUUUGAGAACCAUUUGGGUGUGUUAAGAAAUAAAGUUGCAGAGUAGGCAUGUUCAGACCUUUAUUUGCUACAUUUGGUAGGAAAGAUUUUUUUUUUCCUCUCUUAACUACAAGAAGCCAGAGUUUUCUGUGCAAACGAAACAGGCGUUGCAAGAAUCAGAUUCACUUUGGACGACUCUUCACAUUCCAAGUCAUCAUUGCGUUAGGCAGCACAAUUCCAUCUCUGGUUGAUGGGCAGAAAAAGUGGGCAGCUUGCCAGGUAGACGUUUCCAUGACUCCCAGCCCCCAAAGGUGAUGCGUUUUUCAGCUAAUUCAAUGAAGAGUGGGCUGAACUUUGGGUCUAAACGAGACAAUAGCUGCCUUCGCAGUAUCAGCAGAAUGGUUGAUGGGAAUGCACUCUACAUUUGGCAGAGAAUCAUGUGACCUUACGACUGAGAUUUUGUGAUGGUGCCAACAGAGACUUGGAAAGCAGCAACCGUCCUGACUUUUUUCUUCUUUUCUAGCAUGGCUCAGAAAAUGGUGGAUCUUAAUACUUGACUUUAGCCAGACUCAGCAAGCGACUGAGCUUUGAAGCACAACUUCGCCUUUAUUCUGGGUUUUUUGGCAGGCCACCAGGAGGCUGUCCCUUUCACGCCUGAUAAAUUCUGCUGCUUAUCUCUAAAUAGAAAAAAAAAAAAGGAAAAUAAUAACAGAAUAUUGAGGCAUAACAAGUGAAUCCUAAAAUUGUAUGUGCUUUUUAUUUUUGUUUGUUUGGGGUUUUUUUUUGCUUUCUCUGACUGCUGAUUUUUUUUUUUUUUAAUGUUAAUACCCUUUCUGCUUGCUGAAGAAUCCAAGUAGUUGGGUCUUUUUUUUUUUUUUUUUUUUUUUUGGUUUAUAAUGAACAGGCAUUUGAACUGGGCAAACAGGACGACAGCAGCAGUGAGCAUGAGAUCAUUGCAUUGCAGCAGUGUAGCAAACUGGCACCCUGCCUUUUCACCCCUUUGGUUCAGGAGACAAACGUGUGCAAUCCUCAUUUCUAAAGUCAGCACAGCCUGGAAGGAUUCCUGGUCUCUCCCACCUUCUACCAUUCUGCUGCCAGUGACGGCAAGGAUUGGUGCAGCUUCUGCGCAGUGCUUUGUGCCUGGAAUACCGAGAAGGAAGAAAAAGAAGACAAGCACCCCGGUCCUUCUUUUCUGAGAAAUAACAGGAGCCCUGAAGAAAAAAAUCUGAGUUUGUCCUACUACAUGCAAGAGUGCUGAAAAAAAUGAGACGCUCCUGCUCAAAAACAAAAACAAAAACAAACAAACAAAAAUCCAAACCAAAACAAACCAAAAAAAGCAAACAUUGGCUUGUAUAACUACAGAGACAUCGGGCUUUGUAAAGCAGCUUUUUAAGGCAACAUAACCAAAUGAGCCUUCUUUAUUUUUAUUAUUUCAAACAAUAUGGCAUAAUUAGCAAUAUAUUGCACUUGGUGAAAUCGCACCUUUCAUAUCAGGGAAAAACUUAAAAUGGAUAUGAAAAGUGAAGAAAGGGAUCAUAGGAGAAAAUCAUCUCAGGUGUCUGAUGAUUUGUGAGCACCAAGUGACUAUUCUGUGAAAUCAUCUUUCCUUGCUUUUGAAUUAGCUUUCCCUAGGUCAUGAGUCAACAUUGGUAUUUUCCACAUCCAAAUUGGUAGGUCUUUCUUGAAAUCCUUAUAUAUGUUUUUUUAGACCUAUAAGUGAAGUGCAAGAAAUCAAAAAUUUACAUUGUGCUUGUUUUUACAGCUUCCAAACAUCUUCAGGAAGAGAUUUGGGUGGUGUUGAAGUAUUAGCCAACCGAAGCAUUUAGUUUUAUUGAAUUUUGAAAUGUAAUUUCAUUCUUGUAGUACAUAUCCUAAUCUUGAAGGUGAGGGGGACUAGUCUGUGGCUAAGUUAUUACUCCGUUACACAUCACGCUAAAAGCCCAGCCCGAGCAUUUGUAAACCUUGGGGAGGUUUCUACAUUAGACAACAUUUUUUGUUGGGGGAUUACACCACAGUUGGUUCCCUUCACUUCUCCCUCUCUUCCUGGCCCCCCUCCACCCAAAAUGGAGCCUUUUCAACUUCUUCAAAGAAGUAGGGGAAAAAAGUAGACUCUUUAUUAAUGGCAGAAAACAAACUGGCUGCUGGACUUCCGAGGCAGCCCUCUAAUAAUAAAGCAGAGUAGGCACUGCGACAAAGAAUUCUUGAAUGUACUAAAUAUAUAGGGAAGCCUAUUUAAAUUCACCAGAGGGGCUUAGAGGACAGGCAGCAGAAAGUUUAGAAUUCAAUUCAAGCCAUGCCAGAAAAUGAAAAUGUACUUAAAAAAGGAUUUCUGAAACAAUUGUUCAAAGAAAUGUCAACUUUUAAGGUUCUUUCUAGAAGAAUAAAAUUUGUACUCUAAUUUACGUGGUGACUUUUUCAAUUAGAGAGGAAAAAUGAUUAACAGAAUCUUAAAGGGAUUGUGUGUUAUGUUUAAAGAAAAUGUGUUUUCUUUCCAAGGGAUGUGCCCUAGUGAAGGCCACCUAGUGCACAGACUAAAAACAACCAAAUGUAUACAUGGGACAAAGAAAUAAUGUAUUUUUUAGCAAUUAGACAUAUAACAGAAUUGCUCAUCCUAGUUUGGAAGAAAAAUACUCAAAUUGUAUGUUCUUUCCACUUUAUUUUCUCUCAUUCAACUCUAUUAUUUAAAUUAUUUUAAAGAAAUGUAAUGGAGUAAAUUACUGAUAAAUAAUUGGAUUAUGUGAUUCUGAAUUUGAGAGAUGAAAAAGCGAUCCCUACCUUAUUUCUUAGUUAUUGAGUUAGGAAAUUCUUUUUGCCUUUUAUGUAUCUAUAAGACAUGUGUAUCUAUAAGGAAUACCAACAUCUAUAAGAAUAUAUAUAUUUUUUAUUAGCCCCAAUGUUGACAUAAAACACUAUUUGUAGAAUUCAUUCAAGGGCAGUAUGGCGUCGACUGCGGGAUGGAAUUUCUUGCAGGCUUUUCCUUAAUAUCUUCUUUUAAAAGUAACUUAGAUAUUGGAGAAAAGAUUGUCGUUCUUUGUUAUCAGGGAUUGCAAGUUUUAAAGAGACUAGAAGUUUUGACCUGCUAAUGAUCAUCUCUGUUGUGACUAUUGAGAGAGUCUACUUGAGAAUGAAACCUACAUGAAAUUCAGCAAUUCAUAAAUGUAACUUUUCAACUCAAGAUAAGCUGUUAAUUCAUUAAUUCAUGCAUUCUUCUCCCCCUCCCCCCAAGGUCUCUCUGCCCUGUCUGCCUCUCCCACUUGAUAUCACUCUCUCCUUCCUUCUUUUUGUCUCCACUGUGUUGACUUCAUUCUCAGGUAGCCUCUCUCCAUGUGGUGGCAAAGAUGGCCGCAGCACCUUCAGACUUCUCUCUACUCCAACAUCAGUUUCAUUUAUCAGAAAAGUCUGGUUGGCUCUGUGCUGGUCUCAUGCCCAACUGUGGAGACACUCCUCUGUCCAAACAAGAGUUGCUUUGACUGGACAGCCCACGUAGGAAGUCAAAAGAUUAACCUAUCAAGGCAGUGAGGAAUGAAUGAGGGUCUGGCAAUGGCAGAAAGUGAAAGAAAUUUAAAGCAGGCAAAAAUGUAACAAGACACACAACAACCACUACAGACUUUAAAAUUGCUUUGCAUAAUGUUAUUUUAUAGGCUUUUGUCAAAUAUGUUUGCCUUGGUAAACUUAGUGGUGCCUAUCAACAUGCAGGCAAUAUUAGGUUAUUUUGCCCAACGUAUUGUGUACAGCCAGGAAACUAUGAAAUAUCUGCUUCAGCAAAUCUCAACUUUGAGAUCAUGGAGAUUAGUUAUAUUUCAUUGACCUUUUCCAUAAUCAUUUAAUAUAUGGCACAUAUCAGGAAAGUCAGUAUUUUUUCUCAUUUAGGAAUUUGAAAUGUUUUAAACUUAUUUAGGAUUAUUAGAAGUAAGAGUUUGGUAAAGAAUGUGUCCAUACUCAGCCACCAUUUGGUUACGGCAAACUUUAUAUGCUUCCCACUUUUACCUGCAAGGUUAGGGAGAUUUAUGUUGCUGAUUCUUGGAAACCAUUUAUUUUUGUUUAUGAAUUGAUUUUUCCCCUUCUACCAUAUAUGUGUAUGUAUGUGUGUCUGAGAUAUAUGUGAUGUCUACAAUUAUGUGACUAGGAUGUUAGAUUCUUAUACCUUAUUCUUUACUUUUUUGCUCUGUUGCUUAUCAUGGCAUGACCUGGGUGGGUUUUAAUAUUUACUAUCAAGAACUACUAUUUAGGAAUCUUCCUCAAUGAGAAAAAGAUUAAUUUGCUAUGAAUAGCGAUUCGAAUGCAAAACAUUUUGAGUUUUUUUUUGUGAUGCAGAUGAGCAAAGCUGUAAAUAUAAUUUAGAGAGUUUGAAAAUUUAUUUUAACAUUUGCCAUUCUUCUUACUAAUUAAUCAAAUUAAAAAUGUAUGCUGUGGUUUCCAGUAUAUUAACAUAAGUUGUCAUAUUUGGGACAUCUGUUUAUGGUCCCAUUAUAACUAUGUGUUUCUAGAGGACUGAAAUAUAGAUUGCCAUAAAUAAUGUUUGUAAUUUAUUCUGUGAAAGAAUGAUACCUACUUCCCUUCACAAUGCUUGUUUAUUUCCCACAGAGUAAAUCUUCCAGGAUUGUAUUUUAUCAUUUUCUUAUCAAGAUAGAGGAAGAAAGACUCAGGUCUCAGUUAAGCCUUGCUGAUUGGUUAAGAAAAGAGAUGGCUGUCAUGGGCAGCCUUUCCAGACACUGUGCCAUAGCCCCAGACAGUCAGCUGGUUCUAUCGCUUUGUCUCAACUAUAAAUCACAGCCUCGUAAUGGCCAAGGCUGACACCUUGACAUUUUCAAGAAGAGUAAAAGACCUGAUUUGAAUGGAAAUCAAUUUUAUUUCACAAAUCUUUUGCUUACUACUCCAAGCCUUUCCUUGUGUCUUCUUGAGCCUUAUUUGGGAUUUUCAUGAUCAUCAGAGGAUUAUUUGAAUGUUAUAUUAUGACUUCUUUUAGCUGCAAAAUCAUAUUCUUAAUUCCUUCUUCAUUCUUAACAUAGGAAAAUUGAUUUUUUAAAGAUUUUAUGUAAGAAAAAAGUCACCAAUAAGCCAGAUUUAUUUUAACCAUGAUGCAUUGAUGGUUUUAAAAAUGGCAGCAGCAGCAGCUGCUAUUUAAUUUUGCAAAACAGUUGUAAAAUAUUCUGUGAUUUAAAAAUACAAGCUUUGUUCACACAUAUCCAGAUUAACCUUUGAUUAUCUAAUAAUAAAAAUAUUAACUAUUGAGUGAUUUUGAACUUUAGUCAGGCAGAUCUCAAGCCCAAAAUCUUCUGAAAAAUAUUUGUAUUUUUAUGUUCUUGGACAUAACAAGAGAGUUUUAGAUAUUAAAUUUUAACUAUUCUAGAGCCAAUGCUGACUAACAAGUACUUAAUUUUGUCAGGUGGGCCCAUGCAUUAAAUUAUAUCAGCUUUUGACCAUUUAACCCAAGUGAUACAGAAAUAACUCCACACUUUACUAGUGUGAAAAGAAGUUCUUUUGGGGGCUUUAGGAGCUUGGCUUUGAACGUUUAAAAAAAAUUAGUUUACUCUGUUGUGUCUUCCAUAUUUAGGAGAAUACUAUAAUUUCUUUAACACCACAGAGGGGGAAAAAACUUCUACAUUUUUAGUAUUUUUGCUUGAUCCCUCUCCAAGAAUGAUCUAAACUCAGUGAAGCCUUGGGUCUUCCUAACACAAUAUUCUUUUUUUAAAUUUUUAAUUAUUAUGGGUACAUAAUAGUUUUAUAUGUUUAGAGGAUACAUGUGUAAACACAUUAUUGAGGGAGAAUUUUGGCAUUACCACUCCCUGUUUUAUCAAGCAUAGAAGGAUUACCACAAUGCUUGGUAGAGAUUUUUCUUCAUCUUCAUUAUUGGUCCUCAACUUGGUCAAAAAUCAUGACUCUAAAUAUGAAUACACUUUGUUAAAUGUGUUAUUUUGUACAGUGCCAUGAAAAAGUGGGAUUAUAGACAAUUACAAACAGAAGGCUCCCAAUCCUUUACUCUUUUUAUUCAUCCUUCUACCCAUCCAUUUAUUCAUUCAUAAUCUGUAUAAAACAUGAUCUUAUGCUAGGUAGGUGGGGAGUACAAAAUGAAGUUAGAUGUUCUUCUUUACAUAAUAUUAUGCUCUUACCAGAAUUAUUUUUUAAACUAAAAGUAUUAUCAUGUCAAAAUGUGAGAGAUCCAAAAAGGAGAUGUAAACACAAUGUUUUGAGAUUCUAGAUAAGGUAUUUACCUUAUUCAUUGAAAAACAAGAAAAAUUCCAUGAAGGAGGCUGCAUUUAGCUGAUUGCUGAUGAAUAGGAAGGAUUCCUGGAAUAAUUGAUGAAAGUGCUGGAGUUUCAGGGGGAAUGCAGGAUAUAGAGAUGUGCAGGAGCAGAAAAGAUGGGCUAUGUUUGGCAAUAAAUGUUGUUGGAAAGUUGGAAAUUCAGUGUCUGUUGAAAGGUAAGCUAAAAUCAGUUUGUGGAGUAUCUACAAUGUUCAUGGAGUCUGUCCUGGUGAUUAUGCAAUUUUCCAAUGCAGUAGGCACUGGGAACCUUUUAAAUAAUUGUAGGCAGAUACAAGGAUGUAAGAUGCAAGAUUAACAUAUUAACUGCCAGGUGAUUUGUUAUUUAACUCGCGCUAGUUUUGAGUCUAGGGCCUUAUGAAACAUAUGUAACUCACAUGUCUCUUUAACUUGAGCCACAUAAACUGUUUUUCAAGUUGUGCAUAACUCAUGCA